CACUAUCAUAAAAGGAAAAAAAUGAAGAUUGCUUCUCCUUUUAAACUCCAUGUACACCCCUUCUCAGAAAUUCUCGGCAUCAUCAUCAUCGCAUUUGUUUCCAGAAGAGGAGAUAGGGAUUGGGUGUGUGUUUCUGUGUGUGAAAAUGGCGGUGAAAGAAAGACGCAAAUUCAGGGCUUUGGAUUUGUACAUAUGCCAAUUGAAGAUUCAGAUUUUUGGGGUUUUUACUGUAUUCAGAUGGGGGAUCAGCU